rnacentral:tRNA from 1 species
GGGGUUGUAGCUCAGCGGUAGAGCACUCGCCUGGCAUGUGUGAGGCACUGGAUUCAAUCCUCAGCACCACA